CUAGUCUAAUCCCACUCUAUUAAUUCAGAUUCCUGAACUGUACCUGUCGCCUGUCGGCGCAUGCCGCCUUCCCUGCCCCAAUUUUGAUAGGAAUGUCGCCAAAAUAUGAUCUCUCUAGCCUUCCAGAUGCCUCCACAGCUUUGCACACACGUAGCCCGACGCAAAAAAGCAUGGCUGGAGGACUUCAGCUCCAGCUUACUUUAGCAAGAGAAGCCUUCGACAAGCAAUGAAAAUAGUAACAUCUUUUUUUAUGAUACACAGAUUUUUUUGAGAGCCGUUAGGGCUCUCAAGUUUUCUCCCCGCGCUUCUUCCCCUCUCGCUCUCUGGCUGCCUCUCCUCUCUCACUCUCUCGCUGCUCUCGCUCUCUCCUUCCUCUCCUCUCUUGCUCUGUCAUUCCUCUCCUCUAUCACUGCCUGUCGGCUCUUGAUCUCGCGUUCCUUUCCUCUCUCGCUCUCUCGUUCCUCUCCUCUUUCCCCAACGUCUUCAGGCACCAUCUUCACCAGGAAAUUUGGGUUUAUCUCUCUUGGCUGCUCCUUUACUCAGAAUCCAUUUGGGCGAUUUUGUUCGUGGGCUCUGGAAUAUAAAGCCAAACCAGAAUCCUAAUUGCAAUGUCUUUUUUUAGGCAGAAAAUCAUGUCGUACCUUAUUAAUAUAGCAGCAUACUUGUGGUCACUUUGAGGGGAUGAUUUGCAUGUUGCAGAGCGAGGAUUAUUGGCUGCAAAUGGAUCCUGGUAUCAGCAUCACUGAUAUGUGGAAGGCAGAAUCUGAAAUGAUGUGGGAUGGGAUGGAUAGAAUGGAAGUGGAUGGGUUUGGCAUCGGUGAUGUUAUCUCACAACCACCACAGCCGCA